rnacentral:rRNA from 1 species
UAGGAAGGGGGCUAGCGUUGUUCGGAAUCACUGGGCGUAAAGCGCGCGUAGGCGGAAUGGUAAGUCAGAUGUGAAAUCCCGGGGCCUAACCUCGAAACUGCAUUUGAAACUAUCAUUCUAGAGACUCGGAGGGGGUGGCGGAAUUCCAAAUGUAGGGGUGAAAUCCGUAGAUAUUUGGAGGAACACCGGUGGCGAAGGCGGCCACCUGGACGAGUACUGACGCUGAGGCGCGAAAGCGUUGGGAGCAAACAGG